ensembl:lncRNA
GAAAGAUUCACUCACUUUUUAACAAUCCCACCAAAUAUUGUAGAUUAUGAUUGUAGGAGGCCUGUCUGAACUUAAUAUACAGAUUUCAUGCUGCUGUUAACUGUGUGAUUUCUGAUGGUUAUGUUUAAGAGGUUUGUAUUGAAAGUAUUUUGUGAUAGUUUAUGGUGGGUCACGUGAUUUGGGCGGUAUUAAUUGCUUAUUUGAGGCACCUGUUCAUGCAGUGUCAGUUGGAGUAGAGAGGACCGAUGUGUGGCUUUAUGUUUUGGGAUUGCUGAGUAUUUGGUUCUUUUGUGUGCUUUGCUUUAGAUUUGUUUCCCUUAGUUUUCUUUUGUUGCUAAACAUUUAAGUUCUUGGUGAAUCACUGUUUUGGAGAAGGCGGCACACAAGUAUUCAGGUCCAGUCUCACCUUCUCAGCAGCUUUUUGUUUGUUCCUGAAGUUGCUGAAAUCCAUCAAUGGAAGAAUCUCUACAUGGAGCAUGGCAUCAAGGAUGGAGCAGGAGUAAAGUCAGCAGAUAUGGAUCCAGACACGGAGCACCUCACAAGGAAGGCGCACACCCUCAUCAAGAGCUGCUCUAUGACCACAGAAUCUGAUUAGGAGAAGAAACUUUCUGGUGCCUACUCCCCUGGGUUCAGUCUCUGACGAUACAAAAAUGACUCUCAUCAAUCUGAAUCUCUCAGAAUUCAAGAGGUGAAGACUUGUUUUCAGAACUGAACGAGGAAGUUUAGGAAAACCAGCACAUGAUGUAGAGAAAUUUCAGCACUGUGGCUCAACAGGAGCAGGUCCUGCCUUACCUGAACACCUUUGUCAGUGAUGGAGCUUCCUGUUUGUAUCUAAACACUGGGUCAGUUAAAGAGGGUGGGGGAGUAAAGAAAGGCCACUUCCUCCCUUGUGUUGGUGUAGCUGAAGUCGUAGACGUCCAAUAUUUUCUCCUCUUGCCUUUGGUGCUGUUUAUCCGAUUAUAGUCUAUACCAAAAAUAUAGAUUAUUUUGGCAUGGGCAACCCACUCUUGUAGUUUUCUCUGAGCUCUGUGUCUCUGAAAAGUAAUGUUUCCAUUCUAAAGAAAUCCAGACUGUGUUACAGAUCUACUGACCUUGUAGGAAUUCUUUUCUUUCCACUGAACUACAUCUGCUAACCAUAUCAGUGUCCUGGAGGAAGCACGUAAAGGCUUUGAACAAGAAGCUUGACUUCAUGACAGGCUUCAUGCUUCUUUGUAGUUGGCAGGUGUAGACACUGCACCAGAUUUCUGAGUUUUAACAAAUUCAUGCAUUUCAAUAAUACUUGGGACUAGAAAAGGUGGCAGUCGAGAAACAGGCAGUGCUUCAUUUAACAAAGUCAAUAUUUAUAGCAGAAAAGAUGGAGGUUUAGAUCAUUGGCCUUAAAAUAUUUAUUAAAAACCCUGGACUAACCUCCAGCCAUAACAUGUUUGGCAUAAAAAUAUUAACAGUUGUAAUUAAGACAUGUGCACAAAGUCUUUCAAAUACAGCCUCUGUCAUGUCAAGAAACAUGAACAGAACAUUUAAAAUAGCCAUCAGAUAAAAUUCACAGCAAACCUGAUAUGCUGCCAGUGCCAGCUAGCUUCCAUGUUGGAAAAACACAGAUGUGGAAGUGCUUUAAAUUUCUCUGGAAACCACCAGCAUGUGGUUUCAAAAUCAGACCUCCACACAUCAUAUUUCUGCCAUGUUGUUUUUGAG